rnacentral:lncRNA from 1 species
AAAAAUAAAACAAAUUAUUAACGGUCGAUUCGAUAGACAUGAUGUAUCUUUCCAUUAAUCCCAACAUUUGCCAUCGGAGCUCAUCUUAUAGAAACAAUUAAUUUACAACAUUCUUAAGCCAUCUAUCUACGUGUCAACUUUUGACGGCGAUGCCACUCGUGAUCGGAUCUUUAUUAUAAUUAUUUUUUAUUUAGUUUGUUGUUGUAUGAUUAUAUAUAAACAAGAUUAAAUUUAACUACCUAGUGGCAUCUUUCUUUUCCCAAACUUUUUGUUGUUCUCUUUGCUUUAUAACCUAUUUAUUUCUUAUAAUAAUGCUCAAACUUUAGUUUUUCAUUUUGUUUUUAAUUGAUGCUCGCGUGUGCACUUAAGUAGUUUGGCCAAAGUAAUUAUGUAAUACUUAGAUGUAUAAAUUAGAUCGACUCGGAGUUGCACCCUUGAUCACUUAGUUUCGGGUAAUAAUAGGAUAUUGAUAAUUGAUAUUUUUAAUAUUUAAUGGUUAAGAUUUUUCAUUCUUAUUUUAACCAAAAAAGAAGGUUAAAUUUAGCACAAACUCGAUAUAAAUUUAAAUGAAUUACAUUAGACUCAUAUUUUAGGUACAAGGUUCCUCACGUCCGGGUGGGAUAACAUAAAACAUGAAGUAUUAAAAUCAUAAAAUAUUUUGAGAGAUAUACCAUUAAUGGUAAUUAAUAUAAGCAAAGCAAAGAAAAUGUAUUUAAAAAGAAUAUAUUGAGCGUGCUAGUUCAAGUUUCAUAUGGAACUCUUGUCUUUUCUCAUAAAAAAGUAGAAAAGGGAUGGAUUUUUCCUCAAAAUUUUAAAUGGAAAUAAAUUUUCAAAGUAGUCUCAAUAAAUUUUUGAAUUGUACUAUAAAUAUAUGUAUCUAAACCCGUAUAUUUAAAAUCAAUCAUGGCAGGAGUGCAAGAUAAUGUACGGAUGAAAUUUGCUUUGACAUGACCCAAUUCACUAAUUUAGUGUUAGAUACUAAAAUCUUUUGUGUACCAUUUAUUAGAAAAAUAGGGAGAUUGCCAAUUUUCCCCCACUAUAAUCAAUAUAUACCUUUUGUCCCAUGUUGUCUUUAUAAUAGUCAAUAAUUCCUAACAACAUAAGUUUAAAAUAUUAUCUUUAUUUUCAAAUACACUUAUAUUCAUAUUUAUUAUAAAUUAAAUAAAUCACAUGAAUGGAAAUUAAAAUAAAAAAUUAAGUAUAAAAAAUAAGAAAUAUAUGUUUUGAUGUGAUAUAUAUCACAAAACUAGUGGGGUUUAAUUGUGGUUCGCACACGGCAAAACCUACCACAAUUAGAUCAGCAUCAUCAUCAGUUCAUCAAAACCAAAAUUAAUUAGCGCAUCCACCUUUGAUUUCACCAUUAGAUUAAUACAAGCAAGCAUGCAUAGAGGCAUAAUUUUGUGCAAAUAUGUUUUACCCUAGUUAUAGCAUUUCCAAAUUCCAACAAAGGUUUGCACUUCUUAAUAUAUAGAGGCAUCAAAAGGUAUCCCACUCAAUAAUUAUUUUCCAAAUUCAACUGUGUAAACAUCAUAACACUUAACAAGUGUUACUCGUGGGGGACACUUCAUCAUUAUUAUUAUGCCAUGAAUGCAAUUUCCAAUCAAUUCCCAAAUUCUACGGGCGGGAGAGCUCUUCAAUUUGUAACCGUGAUAUAUAUAUAAUUUUUGCUUUUUCCAAGAUCAACAACAAAAAAAAAAAUCUUGAAAAAAGAAAUAGCUGAUGAACAUCCGAAAGCACUUUUCAAAAAUUGCAAUUCGUUUUCUCUGUUUAUGACUUGUACAAUUUCCCUAUCAUAUAAUGUCAUGUGUUGUCACAUGCAUAUUUGUCACUAAAUUUGAAAUAGUCAUAAAUACAUUAUAAUAAGAAGCGAUAUUUUAUUAUAAUAAUCAUACAUUUUACUUCUCAUAUGUUUAGUUCAAAAUAUCUAACUGUUACUUCUAUUACCAUUAAAUAUUGCCAUUUUCAAACAAGCUUUUUUUUUAAAAUUAAUCUCAUGAGUAAUGAUUGGGAUCGAUGUUUGCCACUCCUCAUCAGAAAGUAACUCAUUGCCUUAGGAAAAGAAAAAAAUAACAUUGAACGCUACAUAUGAUGAUCCAAAUGAAAAUUGAUGCCUAACCCCUAUAAUUUCUUCUUACAUACAUAAUUCUAUUGUCUGUCUAAUUUUUUAAAAGAUUUGAAUCAUAGACUCAUAGUUCUUGUUAGAAUCUUAAAAGAUAUACGAGAAAUCAUUUCAAUUAUUUGGAAAGAUAGUAUAUAGUUUAAGCCUCAUUAUUCAUUGACUCGCGUCCGUAAUGAGUAGCAAACCAUCAAAAGUGGGGAAAAUCACAUGAUUACCGGUGUAAUAAUUGUCGUUUAAAUUUAGUAUAUUAGCCAUUGGAAAUAAUUAAGCUUAGAUUUUUUAUUAUAAUUUUAAAAAAAUCAUCAUUAGUUAUGUUUGUUCGGAUAUGGAACAUGAGAAAAUUCUCUAACUAGAAAUUAAGUGAGUUUUAGUUAGAUGAUUGAAGAAGAAGGAAAAUAAUGUUCUCAUUAAGACAUGUGGGUUUGUGAUUAAUUUGCUCAAAUGAUUGGAUUUGGAGAGACAUUUAGUUUUUUUUUUUUAAUGUGAUAUUUAUUAACUAACACGCAACCUUUCGGGAUCAUUAUUGAACCGAUAUUAUGGAAAUUCGUUAGAUUGAAACUUAUUUAAUAGCAUUAAGCAAAAGAAAUUGUUUUUAUUAGAUUCCCGUUAAACAAAAAUAUUUCCCAUAACAUCAACAAUGUACAUAUAUAAUAAUGUGAACGACAAAAACUUUAACGUGAGUAACCAAAGAAACAUUAAUUAUUAUUUACUAAAUCACUUUCUUAAGGGGCCGCACGUGCAAGUGACCACAAUUAUUAGGGCUUCGUCAAUAAGUGUCUUGCAGGCAUUGGCUCACGUGUCCACAUGCGGCCACAUGAUUAUCUCUAAUCAUUUUGUUAUCCCAAGAUUGGUCGUCUACCUUCAAAACCAUUAAAUCCCAAAAAUAAAUAAAUAAAUGUUUCAAGUGUUAAUGGUUUAAAUCCCCAAUUGAUCAUUGUAAGAAUAUUAAAUCUAGUUUAGCUUUCCCCCCCUACCAAAUCUAAUAAAGCUUGAGUAAUCUGGUAAAUGUGUAAUUUCAAAAUAAUACAUCGAUAUGAAAUGUAGUGAUCAAUUACGCAUAUAUAUAUAUGUGUGUGUGUAUUGUUAUUUUGUGAAUCUAAAUCAUGCAAAUCUCUUUUAAUCUACGCAAGAAAAAUAGUAUUCAUGAACUUAAUUUUAUAUUAAAAUAUAAAUAUUAAUUGUGAUAAACUCAAUCAACUUUUUCAUAAGGUUGAGAGUUUGAAUCCUUCUGUGAAUGUAAGGAUGUGUUUAUCUUUUUUUUUUUCACAACAAAACUAAUUUGAUCAUGAUUUUUUUUUUUUUGUAUUACAUGAGAUAGUACGAUACAAAUAUACACGUAUAUAACCUAAUAUACUUAUUUGAACUUAAUGCUCACCUAUUGGGACUUACUACCUCGACGUAUUAAUAAAGAUGAAGUCCAACCUGAAGGUCUUAAAUCAAAUAAACAAGAAAAUAAUACGUGGCAAAACUCAACUAUUUAUUUGUGCAAGUUGCUCUUAUCUAAUUCAAAAAUAUCUAUCAAUGAUGGCAGAUUUGCAUUGCAUGGAGUCUGGGUGCCUCCGGUUGGUAGGCAAAAAGGAUAAUCUCCGAUAAUUGAAGACGUGUUGGCCCAACCGACUUUACCAGAAAAAAACUGCCAACCAACAAACCUAGCACUAGCAUCCACUAACUGUAUUAGAAAGAGAGAGAAUUAAUUUAAUUACUAAUUAUAAAAUUAAACUAUGAUUAGCACUACUUUCUAAGCAUGAAUUUAGGAAGGCUCCAUGUUUCAAGAUUAUGAUCAGAUCAAAACUCUCUUCUUUCGAUUCUUUCAUUUUGGUCUGUGCAUGCAUGCACGAAUAUUAUUUUUCUCAUAUUUAUUAUCAAUUAAAUAGAUUUUGAUGAUCGAUAGCUUGUAGUCAAAGGUACUGCAAUUGCUAGUUGAAGAAAAAGAAGGGCAUGCAGGCUCUUUCAAUUAGUCAAUCGAUUGCCGAAAGGAUGCCUGCUGCAUCAUGCAUGGGUCAAGUGGGAUAUUAUGCAUGUAUUGUUUGGUAAGGGCACAUGCAAAAACAUUAAAUUGGAAACAUAGAUAAUUGGAUGCCUGAAACAAAAGUGGGGACUUGCUGAUCUAAAAAUCUGCAACACUGAAAUGGAUAGAAAGAACUAACAUUGAUUCCGUUUGUCCUUUUAGUCCAUAUAAUUUGAGUUAAUUAUCAAGUUGAUGUUAUAUUUUUUUUAAACUAUCUAAAAUAUCUCCAUCGUAUAUUUAUUUAU